rnacentral:rRNA from 1 species
GACGAACCGUGCGAACGUUAUUCGGAAUCACUGGGCUUAAAGCGCGUGUAGGCGGAUGGGGACGUCGGUCGUUGAAAGCCCCCGGCUCAACCGGGGAACUGGCACCGAAACGCCCCGUCUCGAGGGACGUAGGGGGACCUGGAACUUCCGGUGGAGCGGUGAAAUUCGUAGAUAUUCGGAAGAACACCAGUGGCGAAGGCGACUUACUGGACACGUAUUGACGCUGAGGUGCGAAAGCGUGGGGAGCAAACAGG